rnacentral:lncRNA from 1 species
AUGGUGCUGUUUUAAAAGCAAGGAUAAGCAGAAAGGGACAUGGAUUUUAGUUGAUGGAUGACUCACUCACUACAUUCAACUGAACUGAAUCUGCUCUAUACCAGCAAAGGGACAAAUUCAGAAAAUAAAUUGAAGAUGGCCAUGCUGUAACUUCUAAACAUGGUUUGCUUCUCAGAUUUACCUAAACUAAGAAAGUGUUGGUAGCCUUAUAUGAAGAACCAGAGAAACCUAACAGUGCUUUGGAUUUUUUAAAGCAUCACUUAGGAGCUGCUACUCCAGAAAAUCCAGAAAUAGAGCUGCUUCGCCUAGAACUGGCCGAAAUGAAAGAGAAGUAUGAAGCUAUUGUAGAAGAAAAUAAAAAACUGAAAGCAAAGCUUGCUCAGUAUGAACCACCUCAGGAGGAGAAGCGUGCUGAAUAGGAUUCUUCUCAGUUUGAAAGACAAUGAAAAAUGGUUUUGUAUGACUUGAAUAGUUUGUAUAGUAUAUAAUCUUUUCUGAACAGAUGCUAUAGAACUCUUUUAAUAUGUUUAAUUCACCUAUCACACUCUGUUAAAAACACAUAGAAUCAUCAAUAAAAACUCAAUAUAACUUUCUUUGGGUCUUAAAGCAGGAGAAUCCAAAGUAAAUCCUGAACAAAACCUAAACACAGCCAUCUAACUCAUUACCUUAAAAGACAUUCUGUUUAUUAGUCUGAUUAGGAAUGAUGGCACUGGUUGUAUUUUAGCCAAGACAGUUUAGCAUGGAGCUAUUCCUUGGUGCAGUUCAGGAUAUGAACACAGGUACAGUCAUUCUUUGAAGGUGACACUGUUCUGUAUAUUCCCUAUAGGCAGCUGGAGAGAUCUGUGUGACACAAGAUGCUUUUGUACGGGUUCCCAUGAAUCUUCUGCUCUUGUUUGUGUGACAUGGAACAAAUAACUUCUUUGCCACCACUUUGCCUUAGAUAACUGUGUGUGUGUGUGCCAGUUUGAACUCUGACACCACAUUUUCCUUCUAUGCAAUCAUGCCUGUCUGAUAAUCUUGCAUUGCUUUCCUCUGAGCUUUAGUGGGUCCUAGUUGCACACUGGCCUUUCUGUGCUGUUUUUCAAUUUGCCUAAUAAUAGCAGUUACCCUGAUUGUAAUUUAUGUAACUUUAAACAGGAUCACACUGUACCCCCUGCCUGCCUUAUUUGCUUACUGAGCACAGGACAGAGGCAAUAUACAACUCUGGGUUCACACACAAGCUGAGAUGAGAAGAGGAAUGAGCCAUAUAUUGGGGAAAAUCAUAGUUUGUAGGUAUAAUUAUAUAGUGCUUUUCUCCCUCAAAGUAUUUUUCUAGCCUUGAAUUCAUUUUAUCUUCAUUAUCCCUGUGAAGUAGGUGGGACAAGUAUAAGGGGAAGAGGGGUGCUGAAUUUUUAGGCCAAAGACUGAUAUUAAUACAAAUCACUCACUAACUGUAGAGCCUUGGGCAUUAUCAGUGAACUACUCUGAGAUUUACUGUCUUCAUCUGUUUAAUGAGUAGAAUGUCCGUGAUGCCUACCUCACAGGGUUGUUGUGAGGGUCAAAUGAGAAUGUAUGUGAAAGAUUUGUAAAUGGUAAAGCACUAUAUUCUUGUUUGUUAGUCCUUUUUCCUUUCUUUGGGUAGACCUACAGUCAGAUGUUUUGUUUUAUGGAUCACUUAUUUUCCUUACUGGUAGACUGUCGUUUUAUAGACAUAUUCCUAUUUCAUAUAUUCUCUCCCUGUUGUUAGAGAACCUAUCUUUGUUUUUGGUCAAAACACACAUAGAAAACAAAAUGAUCCAAUGAAAACUGGUUUAACUAGCAAAAGCCUUGGCACCUGUUGGAGACUAUGACCAAGCCAAUAAAAAGGGCAUUUAAAUCAGCCCUGUUAGUAGGAAUGUGGCUAUGGCUGGUGCCUCUUCUAGUCACAAGUUUGUUUUUGGAGGGGGUCCAGAAGAUCAUUCCCUUGCAUAGAUUUCUCUUUUACCAAUUUGAGUGCCUCCUACAUGGGCAGCAGUGGACUAAGUGCUGGGUGUGAUAAAGAGGAAUGACUUAAUUAUGAGACUGUAUAUAAUCAAAUACAGUGUGGGUUAGGACCUGUGGCAGACCAUUAUAAUAAAGCAUGGCCCCGUGAGGGUUUUGAAAGAGAGAGAGACUUGGCUUCCUUAGUUGGUAUGAUAGUUUCUUGGUAGAUACAGGUUGAAAAUUUUUUGUGGCAGCCAAUCCUCAUGGGCUUUUUACUCAUUUGAUUAGUAUUAAUAUUUAUGUCAGUAAGCCAGGUGACUGUGACUGUCUUUGGUACCAUCCUUUUUGAACAGAAAGGCAACAUGUGGGUUGGAUAAUCACACUUUUAGGUGAAACUGACUUGCUUAAACUGUAACAGUCAGUGCUAUUUAAGAAUUCAGGAUAAGCUUAGCCUCUAGAGGUCCUCUUCAACAUUUCUGUCAAGGAUUUGGAUGAAUACAACAAGAUGCUCCAUGGAAGAGAAAAUGGAUAAAUGGAUCCCACCAGUUAAGCUCCUAUUAUGCUUCAGCUGCUUUGUCUAUAAAAUAUCGACUUCACAUCUUGCCUAUCUCACAAGUUGGUUGUAAGAAUCAAAUUAAAUAUAAUGGAUGUAAAAGUG